UACGAAGGGGGCUAGCGUUGUUCGGAAUCACUGGGCGUAAAGGGCGCGUAGGCGGCCGUGCAAGUCUGGCGUGAAAGCCCCGGGCUCAGCCCGGGAAGUGCGCUCGAAACUGCGCGGCUCGAGUGCCGGAGGGGAGAGUGGAAUUCCUGGUGUAGCGGUGAAAUGCGUAGAUAUCAGGAGGAAUACCGGUGGCGAAAGCGACUCUCUGGACGGCAACUGACGCUGAGGCACGAAAGCGUGGGGAGCAAACAGG
rnacentral:rRNA from 1 species